rnacentral:rRNA from 1 species
AGAAUGUUAUCACGGGAGACACACGGCGGGUGCUAACGUCCGUCGUGAAGAGGGAAACAACCCAGACCGCCAGCUAAGGUCCCAAAGUCAUGGUUAAGUGGGAAACGAUGUGGGAAGGCCCAGACAGCCAGGAUGUUGGCUUAGAAGCAGCCAUCAUUUAAAGAAAGCGUAAUAGCUCACUGGUCGAGUCGGCCUGCGCGGAAGAUGUAACGGGGCUAAACCAUGCACCGAAGCUGCGGCAGCGACACUAUGUGUUGUUGGGUAGGGGAGCGUUCUGUAAGCCUGUGAAGGUGGCCUGUGAGGGUUGCUGGAGGUAUCAGAAGUGCGAAUGCUGACAUAAGUAACGAUAAAGCGGGUGAAAAGCCCGCUCGCCGGAAGACCAAGGGUUCCUGUCCAACGUUAAUCGGGGCAGGGUGAGUCGACCCCUAAGGCGAGGCCGAAAGGCGUAGUCGAUGGGAAACAGGUUAAUAUUCCUGUACUUGGUGUUACUGCGAAGGGGGGACGGAGAAGGCUAUGUUGGCCGGGCGACGGUUGUCCCGGUUUAAGCGUGUAGGCUGGUUUUCCAGGCAAAUCCGGAAAACCAAGGCUGAGGCGUGAUGACGAGGCACUACGGUGCUGAAGCGACAAAUGCCCUGCUUCCAGGAAAAGCCUCUAAGCAUCAGGUAACAUCAAAUCGUACCCAAAACCGACACAGGUGGUCAGGUAGAGAAUACCAAGGCGCUUGAGAGAACUCGGGUGAAGGAACUAGGCAAAAUGGUGCCGUAACUUCGGGAGAAGGCACGCUGAUAUGUAGGUGAAGCGACUUGCUCGUGGAGCUGAAAUCAGUCGAAGAUACCAGCUGGCUGCAACUGUUUAUUAAAAACACAGCACUGUGCAAACACGAAAGUGGACGUAUACGGUGUGACGCCUGCCCGGUGCCGGAAGGUUAAUUGAUGGGGUUAGCGGUAACGCGAAGCUCUUGAUCGAAGCCCCGGUAAACGGCGGCCGUAACUAUAACGGUCCUAAGGUAGCGAAAUUCCUUGUCGGGU